rnacentral:tRNA from 1 species
AUUGAUUUGGCAGAAUAAGUGCUUUAAAUUUAGAAUUUAAUAAUGUAAUAUAAAUUACAAUUAAUA